CGCAAGUUUCAACAAUCUUCAGUGACAAGGAGACCUUGCAAGUGAGCUCUCUGAAUGUGAUUGCAGAGCAGGUACUGUGGACAGAGGAACCAGGACCAUUCCUCCGGGACAGUUGUCAUUCACGGAGCUACGGAAGAUGUAACCUGCAGAAAAAAACCACAAAAAAACAAAGAACCACAGCCCAACAAUUAAUGUGGUUAGGUGCUGAGGCUGUUUCUAGAGCUGG